rnacentral:rRNA from 1 species
AGAGAGAGACAUGCGCGCAUAUCAAUAAGCGGAGGAAAAGAAACUAACUAGGAUUCCCUCAGUAACGGCGAGUGAAGCGGGAAGAGCUCAAAUUUGAAAUCUUCAAGGUUCUACCUUGACGAAUUGUAGUUUAAAGAAGUGUUUUCUGUUGGAGUUUUGGUAAAAGUUCUUUGGAAUAGGACAUCAUAGAGGGUGAGAAUCCCGUAUUUGACCAUUAUUUCCAGCUUUGUGAUACACUUUCAAAGAGUCGGAUUGUUUGGGAAUGCAGUCCAAAAUGGGUGGUAAAUUUCAUCUAAAGCUAAAUAUUGGCGAGAGACCGAUAGCGAACAAGUACCGUGAGGGAAAGAUGAAAAGAACUUUGAAAAGAGAGUUAAACAGUACGUGAAAUUGUCAAAAGGGAAGCGUUUGACACCAGUGUUGUUUUCUCGAAAAUCAAUUAAAAAGGCAGGAUUUUGUUGUGUAUUGACCUUAUCAGCUUCUGCAUCUCAAUUUUCUUGUCUUUUUUAAUGCACUUUUCGUUUAACAAGUCAACAUCAGUUUCUUUGUUGUAAAAGGUCAUUGGAAGGUGGCUUUCUUUUCGGAGAAAGUGUUUAUAGCCUUUGCCUCUGCAAUCGAAGAGAUUGAGGUCUGCAGCGUAGAUCCUUCGGGGUUAGAUACAUUUGUGCUAAGUUAUAGCCUUUUCAUAGACAACUUGUUGACUAUGAUCAGUCAUGUAGCUUACUCGCUUAUGCUAUUUUACCUACGCUUAGGAUGUUGAUGUGAUACUGCGAGCA